AGGAAUUUAGGUUAACUAGACCAAGAGCCUUCAAAGCCCUAAGUAAGUNAMCUAUGCUUAAUUCCUG
rnacentral:tRNA from 1 species